rnacentral:miRNA from 1 species
UAUCUCACAUUCAUCCGUAUUU